UGGGAUAUAGCUCAGUCGAUAGAGUGCUUGCCUCCCAUGCACAAGGCCCUGGGUUCAAUCCCCAGCAUUUCAA
rnacentral:tRNA from 1 species